CCUACGGGAGGCAGCAGUGGGGAAUAUUGCACAAUGGGGGAAACCCUGAUGCAGCGACGCCGCGUGAGUGACGAAGUACUUCGUUAUGUAAAGCUCUUUUAGCAGGGAAGAAAAUGACGGUACCUGAGUCAGAAGCCCAGGCUAACUACGUGCCAGCCGCCGCGGUAAUACGUAGGGGGCAAGCGUUAUCCGGAUUUACUGGGUGUAAAGGGAGCGUAGACGGCAGUGCAAGUCUGGAGUGAAAGGCGGCGGCUCAACCCGCGGACUGCACUGGAAACUGUACGGCUGGAGUGCAGGAGAGGUAAGUGGAAUUCGUGGUGUAGCGGUGAAAUGCGUAGAUAUUAGGAGGAACACCAGUGGCGAAGGCGGCUUACUGGACUGUAACUGACGUUGAGGCUCGAAAGCGUGGGGAGCAAACAGGAUUAGAUACCCCUGUAGUC
rnacentral:rRNA from 1 species